UCUCACUCUGUCACCCAGGCUGGAGUGCAAUGGUGUGAUCUUGGCUUACUGCAACCUCUGCCUCCCAGGGUUCAAGUAAUUCUCCUGCCUCAGCGUCCCCAGUAGCUGGGACUACAGGUACUAUGCAAUUUACGACUCUGGAGACCGGCAAGGGCUCCUGGAUGCCUACCAUGAUGGGGCCUGCUGUUCCCUGAGCAUUCCUUUCAUUCCUCAGAACCCUGCCCGAAGCAGCUUGGCCGAGUAUUUCAAGGAUAGCAGAAAUGUGAAGAAGCUUAAAGACCCUACCUUGCGGUUCCGGCUGCUGAAGCACACGCGUCUCAACGUUGUUGCCUUCCUCAAUGAGUUGCCCAAAACCCAGCACGACGUCAAUUCCUUUGUGGUAGACAUAAGCGCCCAGACAAGCACACUGCUGUGUUUUUCUGUCAAUGGAGUCUUCAAGGAAGUGGACGGAAAGUCCCGGGAUUCUUUGCGAGCCUUCACCCGGACGUUCAUUGCUGUUCCUGCUAGCAAUUCAGGGCUAUGUAUUGUAAACGACGAGCUAUUUGUGCGGAAUGCCAGUUCUGAAGAGAUCCAAAGAGCCUUCGCUAUGCCUGCACCCACGCCUUCCUCCAGCCCAGUGCCCACCCUCUCUCCAGAGCAGCAGGAAAUGUUGCAAGCAUUCUCUACCCAGUCUGGCAUGAACCUCGAGUGGUCCCAGAAGUGCCUUCAGGACAACAACUGGGACUACACCAGAUCUGCCCAGGCCUUCACUCAUCUCAAGGCCAAGGGCGAGAUCCCCGAAGUGGCAUUCAUGAAGUGAUCGUAGUCAUGCCUCAGAAGCAGCCCCCCUGUAAAUAGUCCUUGGAUAUUACCGUCUGGUUGUCGUCUGUCAUCUCCUCCUGUCUGGCCCGAGGCCGCCCCGUGACUGUGACCCAGGGAGGG
rnacentral:sRNA from 1 species